UACGGGGGGGGCAAGCGUUGUUCGGAAUUACUGGGCGUAAAGGGCUCGUAGGUGGCCAACUAAGUCAGACGUGAAAUCCCUCAGCUUAACUGGGGAACUGCGUCUGAAACUGAUGAGCUUGAGUGCAGGAGAGGAACGCGGAAUUCCAGGUGUAGCGGUGAAAUGCGUAGAUAUCUGGAGGAACACCGGUGGCGAAGGCGGCGUUCUGGACUGCAACUGACACUGUAAAACGAAAGCCAGGGGAGCAAACGGG
rnacentral:rRNA from 1 species